rnacentral:ncRNA from 1 species
UAAUAUUUUUAUUCUUGAUUUUUUAUUUGUUUUAAAAUUAUUUUAUAUGUAAAUUUUUGUGAUGUUAAAUUAUUAUCUAGAUGGUUAUUUUAUUAUAUAGCAGUAAAUAUAAUUAUUUUAUUUAAGUAAUUUUGAUUUAGUAAUUUUUAAUUAAUGUUGUUUAAAUAUGUGCCAGCAUUCGCGGUUAUACAUAAAAUAUAAAUAAAUAUUUUUAGUUAAAAUAGUUUAUUUAUUAAUAGUUUAUAAUUUUUUUUAUUAUUUUUUAGGUGAAAUUAUUUAUUUUUAUUUAUUAUUUAUAAUUUAUUGAAGCUAUGAAAUCUAUAAUUAAACUAGGAUUAGAUACCCUAUUAUUUUUGUAUGUUAAUUAAUUUUAAACUUGAGUAGUAUUAGAUUGGAUGGUUCUUGAAACUUAAAGAUUUUGGCGGUAUUUUAGUCUUUUUAGAGGAAUCUGUUUUUUAAUUGAUAAUCCGCAUUGAACCUUGCUUAUUUUUUUUUUGUAUAUCGUCGUUAUUGAAUUUUUUUUUAGAAUUUUAAUUUUCUUGAUGUAAUAUUAUGAAAAAUUUCAGGUCAUGGUGCAGUUUAUAAAUAAGUUAAAAUGGAUUACAUUGUUAUUUUUAUUUGGAUUUUAUUUUGUAAUUGAUUAAUGAAAGUGGAUUUAAUAGUAAUAUUUUGUAGAUUGUGAUUUUGAAAUUAGCUCUAAAAUAUGUACAUAUCGCCCGUCACUCUCGUUGAUUUUAAAUGAGAUAAGUCGUAACAUAGUAGAUGUACUGGAAAGUGUAUCUAGUUUAAUAAAAU